CGCUGGGGCUCUGCCUGGCUCGCGCGGGGCCGUUGGAGCCUCUCCCGGGCCGGAGAAGGUUUGUGCCAGAGUCCUGGCUCCAAGCGCUGCCCGGCAUUCCCCAGCCACAGGCCCUGUCACUGUGAUAACUUUCUAUCCACUUAUCAGACACUGUGAGACAGGCUGCAGAACGACGUCCAUGUUUCACUCCAGCUCAUCCC